AUUUCUCAGGCAUUCACAUCUUCCCAACAGGCAGCCUGGAACUUGAACUUGCCAACACAUUACAAAAGUAUAUUGACAGACUUGGAAUUGUGCAUGACCAGUCAAACUACAUGUAUUAUGUCUGGUUGCCAGAGGAUUACAUGAUAACACCUCUUUGAGCCUACAGCAUCCUUGAUAAUAUGACACACAGCACAUGUCUAGUAUCAUAUCCUGGUCUCAUAAUGUGUAGUACAUCUGUGCACAAUAUUGUAUUGAACACUACAAUAUCUUAUUUACAUUAAGAAUACUUAUUAAGAGUGAAAACACACAAGAAUGUAUAACUCUACUUGAGAACAUCACAGUUCUGAAAUAGGUGUUGUCUUCCCAAUGUGUUUCAGGCACUGAUCUUUGCUCCUGAAAUUCAAUGGAGAGAUUAAGGAAGUGUGUUGAGUACAGACACAAUGCUCUCUAUUGUUCUGGAUGUAAGAUAUUAUAUGUUUGGCUGUCAAGCAACAAUUUUGCUACAAUCGUGUGUGUGGUGCACUACUGCACAGUACAUAUUUAUAGAUAAAAUGUGAUUUCUGUCAUAGCAGACCUUAAUUAUAUAUUGUGUUCAAAAUAAUUGUAUGCUGCUUUAUAAAAUAUUAUUUUGAUGUCAUGUAUAAGGAACUGAAUAUGCUUAGAAAUUAUAAGUCUAUGUACCUUAAAACCCCCUAACUAUGGGCCACUUCAGACGAUUUUUUUCUCUGACGGCUAUACAAUUCACAUUUCCUCACUUUUUAGAAUUUGUGAAUGAUGCACAGAAAGCAAUGAAAGUCGUUACCCAUACCUUUUUAUGAGUUUUUGAAUAGUGGUACGUAGUUAGGUAUUGAAGUGCCAAAACUAUGAACCACAGAUCAAAUUCCACAUAUGGACAAUAGAUAAGUAGUAUAUAUUUAAGUAUAGGGCACUAAAUGUUGUAUUUACACUAUCAUGCCUCACAAUAAUGACAAUUAACUUUGAAAAGUCAGGAAUAAACAAUAAAAAAU